GACGAGCCUCACAAACGUUAUUCGGAAUUACUGGGCUUAAAGGGUGCGUAGGCGGCGCGGAAAGUUGGGUGGGAAAUCCCUCGGCUCAACCGAGGAACUGCGCCCAAAACUACCGUGCUCGAGGAAGAUAGAGGUGAGCGGAACUCACGGUGGAGCGGUGAAAUGCGUUGAUAUCGUGAGGAACACCCGUGGCGAAAGCGGCUCACUGGGUCUUUUCUGACGCUGAUGCACGAAAGCUAGGGGAGCAAACGGG
rnacentral:rRNA from 1 species